UACCGGUAAUCAAGCCAGCGUACGCUGGAC
rnacentral:sRNA from 1 species